CAGCACUCUCUCGCCUCCAGGAACAUGGCAGCGGCGUAACUGAGCACCUUCAGCAUCUGAGUGGCAAAACUGCGCCGCACCAGGAGGGUGGGGGGCCGAGGGACGGCGACGACUAGCAUCUCUCUGUGACAUUUACAGGUCCUCUGAAAAGAUGAACGUGGUCAAGGAAAACAAAGACCUGGCCUGUUUCUACACCACCAAGCACUCCUGGAGGGGAAAGUACAAGCGAGUCUUCUCAGUGGGAACCCAUGGCAUCACCACCUACAACCCCACCACGCUAGAAGUUACAAAUCAGUGGCCUUAUGGAGACAUCUGUGGCAUCGGCCCGGUGGGGAAAGGUCAGGGAACGGAGUUCAGCCUCACAUUUCGAAAGGGCAGCGGCAAGAAAUCGGAAACGCUCAAAUUCUCAACUGAACAUCGGACAGAGCUGCUUACGGAAGCACUGAGAUUCAGAACAGAGUUUUCGGAGGGGAAGAUCACAGGCAGGCGCUACAACUGCUACAAGCACCACUGGAGCGACACACGAAAGCCCGUCAGUUUAGAGGUGACGCCGGGUGGCAUCGACCAGAUCGACCCGCACACCAACAGAGUGAUAUGUUCUUAUGACUAUCGCAACAUCGAGGGCUUCGUCGAGGUGUCGGACUACCAAGGAGGGUUCUGCAUCCUGUACGGCGGCUUCAGUCGGCUGCAUCUGUUUGCCUCCGAGCACAGAGAUGACAUCAUCCGCUGCGCCAUUGAGCAUGCUGGGAAUUUCAUCGGCAUCAUGUUGCGGCUGCGGAAAGAGCCGCUGACCUUUGAGGGGUUUGUGACGGACAGGCUGGGGAAGUACAGCUCGGAUGAGAGCAUCACCUCUUUGGCUGAGUUUGUGGUGCAGAAGAUCACAUCUCGACAUCCGGAGCCGAUCAAGCGAAUCCUGGCUCUGACCGAGACGUGUCUAGUGGAGAGAGACCCUGCGUCAUACAACAUCGUCACCAUCAAACCCUUCGGGGAGGUGUUUGCGCUCAUCUGUGACGUAGACAACCCUCAGGUGUUCACGGUGGAAUUCAUCAGGGGCCAAAUCAGAAAGUUCUCCUCCACGGAAAGGGACUCGUUGUUGGCCAGCUUGCUGGACGGUGUUAGAGCAUCAGGCAACAGAGAUGUGUGUGUCAAGAUGGCGCCGACGCAGCGAGGGCAGAGGUGGGGUCUUCUCAGCAUGCCUGUGGAUGAGGAGGUGGAGAGUCUGCAUCUGAAAUUCCUAGCAGCACCUCCGAAUGGGAAUUUUGCAGAUGCUGUCUUCAGGUUCAACGCCAACAUAUCCUACAGCGGCGUGCUGCAUGCCGUCACUCAAGACGGUCUUUUCUCAGAGAACAAAGAGAAGCUGAUCAACAACGCCAUCCUGGCUCUGCUGUCUCAGGAGGUCGAGCUGCCCGCCCUGAACACGGAGCUGGAGAGUCACUUCCAGGCCAUCCGCCGGCUCGUGGCCUCCAAAGCCGGCUUCCAAGCCUUCACCCAGCUGCCAAAGUCUGGUCAGGGGUCCGGACUCACAGAUGGAACGUUCAGAGAAAAGUUGGGAGUAAAGACUGUAAAAGCUUUAAAACGGAACAACAACGGUGUGACGCACGCUGCUAUAGACAUGCUCUGUGCCCUCAUGUGUCCGAUGCACGAUGACUACGACCUGCGACAGGAGCAGCUGAACAAAGCAUCUCUGCUGUCUUCCAAGAAGUUCCUGGAGAACCUUCUUGAAAAAUUCAUCACCAACGUGGAUCACGGAACGGGAGCUUUGGUCAUCAGCUCUCUGCUGGACUUCCUGACCUUCGCCUUGUGCGCCCCCUACAGUGAGACCACUGAGGGUCAGCAGUUCGACAUGCUCCUGGAAAUGGUGGCUUCAAACGGCCGAACGCUUUUCAAACUGUUCCAGCAUCCGUCGAUGGCGAUUGUGAAGGGAGCUGGUCUGGUGAUGAAGGCCAUCAUAGAGGAAGGAGACAAAGAGAUCGCCACAAAGAUGCAAGACCUGGCUUUAAGUGAAGGUGCUCUUCCCAGACAUCUUCACACGUCCUUAUUCACCAUCAGCAGUGACCAGAGGAUGCUCACCAACAGACAGCUGAGCCGUCACUUGGUGGGACUGUGGACAGCAGAAAAUCCUGUGGCCAUGAAUCUUCUCAAAAGAAUAUUGCCCACAGGACUUCUGGCCUACAUGGACAGUCCAGACUCUGUGCCAGAGAAAGACGUGGACAGAAUGCACGUCCGAGAUAACUUGAAAAUAGCCACGGAUCAGCUGAACAGGAACAAAGUGCCUGAGUGGCAGCGCAUUGCGGGCAAAGCAGCCAAAGAGGUGGAGAAGUUUGCCAAGGAGAAGGCAGACAUUGUACUGAUGCACUGGAGAGAUAAGAUGGGCAUCGCUCAGAAGGAGCAGGACAGAAAUAACCUGAAUCCAAAUCAAAAGCCGGUCAUCUUGAGAAAGCGGCGACAGAGAAUAAAAAUUGAAGCCAAUUGGGAGCUUUUCUACUACAGAUUCCAGCUCGAUCACGCACGCUCGAACUUGAUAUGGAACUUGAAGACGAGGGAGGAGCUGAGAGACGCCCUGGAAGGCGAGAUGCGAGCCUUCAACGUGGAUCGUGAGCUCGGCAACGCCACGGUCAUUUCCUGGAACCACCAGGAAUUUGAGGUCAAAUAUGAGUGCCUUUCCGACGAGAUCAAAAUCGGGGAUUACUACUUGCGCCUGCUGCUGGAGGAGGAUGAGAACGAAGAGUCGAGCGCCAUCAAAAGAUCAUACGAGUUCUUCAACGAGCUCUAUCACCGCUUCCUGCUGACACCCAAAGUGACGAUGAAGUGCCUGUGCUUGCAGGCGCUUGCCAUAGUCUACGGCAAAUGUUUCGAGGAGAUCGGGCCGUUUAGCGACACCAAAUACAUCGUGGGCAUGCUGGACCGGUGCACCGACAAGCUGGAAAGAGACCGACUCAUUCUCUUCCUCAACAAACUGAUUCUGAACAGAAAAAACGUGAAGGAGGUGAUGGACUCCAAUGGAGUGAGGAUCUUGGUGGACCUGUUGACAUUAGCUCACCUGCACACCAGUAGAGCGACUGUGCCACUGCAGAGUAAUGUCUUGGAGGCGUCACCAGACAUGAAGCGGGAGAGCGAGAAGGAGUGGUACUUUGGCAACGCUGACAAAGAACGAAGAGGACCUUUUAGUUUUGAAGAGAUGCAGGAGUUUUGGAACACGGGAGUGCUGACGGCAAAGACGCGCUGCUGGGCUCAGGGCAUGGACGGCUGGCGGCCCCUGCAGGCCAUCCCUCAGCUGAAGUGGUGCCUGCUGGCGACAGGGCAGGCAGUGAUGAACGAGUCUGACCUGGCAACCCUCAUCCUCAACAUGCUCAUCACCAUGUGCUCCUACUAUCCAAGCAGAGACCAGGACAACGCCGUCAUCCGUCCGCUGCCGAAAAUCAAGCGGAUGAUCAGCGACAAUGCGUGUCUCCCUCACAUUGUCCAGUUACUCUUGACCUUUGACCCCAUCCUGGUGGAGAAAGUGGCCAACGUCCUCUACCUGGUGAUGCAGGACAACCCCAAUCUGCAGCGCCUUUACUUGUGUGGUGUCUUCUUCUUCAUCAUGAUGUACACAGGCUCCAAUGUCCUUCCAGUCGCCAGGUUCCUGAAGUACACUCAUCUGAAGCAGGCCUUCAAGUCAGAGGAGUCCAAAGGUCAGGACAUCAUCCAGCGCAGUGUCCUUGGACCAGUUCUGCCCGAGGCCAUGGUGUGUUACCUGGAGAACUACGAGGCUGAACGCUUCUCUGAGAUUUUCCUGGGAGAGUUCGACACACCAGAAGCCAUUUGGAGCAGCGAGAUGAGGCGGAUGAUGAUCGAGAAAAUAGCAGCUCAUGUCGCCGACUUCAGUCCGAGGCUGCAGAGCAACACGCGUGCGCUUUACCAGUACUGCCCCAUCCCGAUCAUCAGCUUCCCCCAACUGGACAACGAGCUCUUCUGCAACAUCUACUACCUCAGACAUCUGUGUGACACUGUUCGCUUCCCCAACUGGCCCAUCAAAGAUGCGGUGAAGCUACUUAAAGACACAUUGGAAGCCUGGAAGAGGGAAGUGGAAAAGAAGCCUCCUUCGAUGUCUGUGGAUGACGCUUACGAAGUCCUCAACCUUCCUAAAGGACAGGGGCAGCAUGAGGAGAGCAAAAUCAGGAAGGCCUACUUCAGACUGGCACAGAAGUACCAUCCAGACAAGAACCCGGAGGGCCGAGACAUUUUUGAGAAAGUCAACAAAGCCUACGAGUUCCUCUGCACAAAAUCUGCUCGCUUCCUGGAUGGACCCGACCCAGAGAACAUCAUCCUCAUCCUCAAAACGCAGAGCAUCCUCUUCAACCGGCACAAACAAGAACUGGAACCCUACAAGUACGCUGGCUACCCCAUGCUCAUCAAGACCAUCACCAUGGAGACGCAGGACGACCAGCUCUUCUCCAAGACCUCCCCCCUGCUCCCUGCUGCUGCCGAGCUGGCCUUCCACACAGUCAACUGUUCCGCUCUUAAUGCUGAGGAGCUGCGGCGAGAAAACGGCAUCGAGAUCUUGUUGGAGGCCCUGUCUCGGUGCGUCAGUGUUUUGACUGCGUCCAGUAAAGCUGAUGACAUGGCAGUUCAGGUGUGCGGGCACAUCUGCAGGUGCUACAGCGUCGCAGCUCAGUUCGAGGAGUGCAGAGAGAAGAUCAUCGAGCUGCCGAACAUCAUCAGAGACCUUUGUCAUGUCCUGUACUACGGCAAGGGGCUUCCAAAAACAGCAGCUCUGGCUGUCCUGUGUGUGAGCUCCUUCGCCGUGGACUUCUUCCUCCAGACCCACCUCUACCACGCCGGCGUGCUCUGGCACCUGCUGGUCAACCUCUUCAACUACGACUACACUCUGGAGGAGAGCGGCGUCCAGACCAGCCAGGAGACCAACCAGCAGGAGGUGGCUAACAGUCUGGCCAAGCUCAGCCUGGUGUCCCUCAGUCGGCUGGCUGGGUACAACCCGGUCCCCGCCAAUCCAGACAUGACCAACCACGUCUCGGAAACCAAUGGCGUCGAGGGAACGCCGCCGGAGAAUCCCACUGUACGCAAGAGUCUCGCCGCCAUGUUGACGCCGUACAUCUCCAGAAAGCUGGGAACUGUCUCCCCACCUGAGAUCCUGAAACUGCUCAACAGUAACUCUGAGAACCCGUACCUCAUCUGGAACAACGGAACACGAGCCGAGCUGAUGGAGUUUCUGGAGCAGCAGCAGGAGGGAAACAUCAAGAGGGGAGAGAACGACAAAAGCUUUGGUGCUGAGUUUGUCUUCAGUGAUCACAGUAAGGAGCUGAUCGUCGGGGAGAUUUUCGUCCGUGUUUACAACGAACAGCCCACGUUCCCACUCGAGUUUCCCAAAGCCUUCGCCGCCAGUCUGCUGGACUACGUGGGCUCUCAAGCCCAGUACCUGCACACCCUGCUGGCCAUGAGUCAGAGCAACAAGGUGGAGUCCCAGCAGCAUGCUGAGAGGCUGCGCUUCGCUGAAAUGGCUUUGGAGGCUCUUCGCAACGUCAUCAAAAACAACCCUGGUUCUGAGACGGAGUGCAUCGGACAUUUCAAGCUGCUCUUCUCCUUGUUGCGGGUCCACGGCGCUGGCAGGGUCCAGCAGCUGGUUCUUGAGGUUGUAAAUACUGUGACGUCAAACCAGGAGUGCGUGAGCAACAUCGCCGAGUCGCUGGUUCUGUCCAACCUCCUGCUGCUGCUGCACUCGCUGCCUUCUAGUCGACAGAUGGUGCUGGAAACUCUCUACGCUCUCACGUCCAACACUAAAAUCGUCAAAGAGGCGAUGGCCAAAGGUGCUCUGAUCUACCUGCUGGAUCUCUUCUGCAACUGCACUCACCCUCAGGUCCGCACGCAAACCGCCGAGCUCUUCUCCAAAAUGACCUCAGACAAGCUGGUCGGGCCGAAGGUUCGACUCACCAUGAUCAGGUUCCUGCCUGCAGUUUUCAUGGAUGCCAUGAGGGACAAUGCAGAAGCUGCAGUGCACAUAUUCGAGGGAACUCAUGAGAACCCAGAGCUGAUCUGGAACGACAACUCCAGGGAGAAGGUGUCCACGACGGUGCGGGAGAUGAUGCUCGAGCACUUUAAACAGCAGAAGGAGAAUCCUGAUGUGAACUGGAAACUUCCCGAGGACUUCACUGUGGCUUACGGGGCAGGACAGGGCGAAAUAGAGGUGGGCGGCGUCUUCCUCCGCAUCUUCAUCGCUCAGCCUGGCUGGGUGUUGAGGAAGCCUCGAGAGUUCCUGGUGUCUCUGCUGGAGACUCUGACGGAGCUGCUGGAGAAGAACAACCCCAAUGGCGAAGCUCUGGAGACGGUGACCACCGCGGCUGUUUGUCUGUUCAGUACUCAGACUCAGCUGGCCGAUCAGGUUCCCCCUCUGGGCCACCUACCUCGUGUGCUGUUGGCCAUGAACCACAAGAACAACGCUGUGCCCAAGAGCGCCAUCCGCCUCAUCCAUGUGCUGUCGGACAAUGAGCUGUGUGUGCGAUCCCUGGCUUCCCUGGAGACUAUUGGGCCUCUGAUGGCUGGAAUGAAAGUUCGUCCCGACAUGGCUGGACAUGCGUGUGAAGCUCUCAACCGGAUGUUCCAGAAGGAGCAGACAGAACUAGUGGCUCAGGCACUCAGAGUGGAGCUGGUGCCGUAUCUCCUCAAGCUUCUGGAAGGAAUCGGAUUGGAGACGUUGGACAACCCGUCGGCAACAAAAGCCCAGAUCGUCAAAGCCCUCAAGUCCAUGACUCGCAGUCUUCAGUUUGGGGAACAGGUCAACGAGAUCCUGGCCAAGUCUUCAGUAUGGAGUGCCUUCAAGGACCAGAAGCACGACCUGUUCAUCUCCGAGUCUCAGACCGCUGGUUACCUGACGGGGGUCUCCACUCCCUCCCUCCUGGCCGCCAGCAGCCCACUGCGAGGUGGGCUCUAGAGUCCAGAGCUGGACCUCAGAGCCCCCUCCUCUCUGUUGCUCUCUCUCAGGUCCAGGAGUAGCAGGCUACCUUACGGCAGGAACCGGCGCCACGGUCAUGUCCAUCGUCCCGCCCCCCGUGGACAACGACAGCGGAGACCAAGGCUGACGGCCCCUGGCGGCCCCGCUCAGACUGCCCAGCACCUCCGCCGCUCCGGAGGUCCGAUCUGCUCCCACCACGAGGCAGAGUUGAAGGAGCAGCUCACCGCUGACCGACACCAGAACCGCUGCGACGCCUCCUUCAGCAUCACUCUCCUCUCUGGACGAAUCUCACGUCAAAAUCAUUUUUAGAAAAAAACAAAAGAAAAAAAAGCCAGACCACCGUGUUGUUUCUGUGAAGCUCAGAAGAGUUUACUUUUUGUAUGGAAAUAUUUUUUACUCCGUUUUCUUCUGUUUUUUCCCCAUCGGAUUAUUACUCUUCCUGAAUCUUUGCUUUUCUGACUCCUUCCAUUCGUGAUCAGCCGCUCACUAACGGACCUUCCAGGCUGCUUAAUCACUUCCGACAUGAGAAGAACCUCCACCAGACUCAGAUGAUUCCUCCCGCUCUGCGCUCUAAUCCCACCCGGCACUAGAAUAUCCAGCGUCCGCUGCGACCCGACAGAACGACUAGUGCAAUUUAUGAGAUGUUGGUUGUACAAUGACGUAUAUAAACUUUCUAUAUUGAAUGUACAUUGAAAAAAAAAAAUAAAUCAGAAGCACUUGUACAUAAAAUUUUAAGAAUAAAAGGGAACCACCAGUGCGGGUUACACUUCUUUGCUUUUGAGCUUGGUUGUGCAGUGGAGCGUUGCAUUGUCGUGCUGUGUGUGUGGCGCAGUAACCACUCUGACCAGCAGAGGGAGUCAGAGUUCUCGGCUUCCGUCUGGUGGUGAACAGUGAAUGUGGGUUCCCUUGCCAGAGUGGCCGUGUAACCGUGCUUGUU